GAUGAACGCUGACGGCGUGCCUAAUACAUGCAAGUCGAGCGAACGGACGAGAAGCUUGCUUCUCUGAUGUUAGCGGCGGACGGGUGAGUAACACGUGGAUAACCUACCUAUAAGACUGGGAUAACUUCGGGAAACCGGAGCUAAUACCGGAUAAUAUUUUGAACCGCAUGGUUCAAAAGUGAAAGACGGUCUUGCUGUCACUUAUAGAUGGAUCCGCGCUGCAUUAGCUAGUUGGUAAGGUAACGGCUUACCAAGGCAACGAUGCAUAGCCGACCUGAGAGGGUGAUCGGCCACACUGGAACUGAGACGCGGUCCAGACUCCUACGGGAGGCAGCAGAAGGGAAUCUUCCGCAAUGGGCGAAAGCCUGACGGAGCAACACCGCGUGAGUGAUGAAAGUCUUCGGAUCGUAAAACUCUGUUAUUAGGGAAGAACAUAUGUGUAAGUAACUGUGCACAUAUUGACGGUACCUAAUCAGAAAGCCACGGCUAACUACGUG
rnacentral:rRNA from 1 species